rnacentral:lncRNA from 1 species
CAGCCUCCCUGGGCUCCCUGCACCCAACUCAGGCCCCGUGGCCUGACUGCCGUGACUGCCACCCCAGAGCCUCCAUGUAGCCCCCAGGCCUUGUCCACGAUGUCACCGAAGGACGCUGGGGACCCGCAGAUCCGGCCGUGCCCAAGGGUAUCCUUCGGGUGCCACGCAGACAGUCACUGGUCGCCUUGGUAACACAGAGCCCCUGGCAGACGAGGACGGGUGCAGGACAGCAUCCCCACCAGAGAUCCUGUGCCCGCCCUACACGGAGGCCUUCAAAGCCCUGCCCACGCUAUGACCCCUGCUGCAGACCCCAGAGGGACGCCUGACCUCCCUCAGCUCUCGGCCCACAGCGGCCUGGUGAAGAGCCCCGUUGCCCCGAGUCCUCACUGCCUGCCACAGCCACAGCCUCCAGGAGGCCCGGCAUGGCAGCCUCAAGGGUGAAGUCACGGGGUCAGCUGGGCCGAGGGGCUCAGGCACCAGCCAGACCACACCCUGUGAACACGCAGACCCCGCAGGCCCCACAGGCCGAAGCCACUGAGGUCCCUCCCAGCCCCCACACGAGAGAGGACAGAGGUUUGCCAGGCCCUGACCGGGGUCCAACAUGCAGGAGUGAUGCUGUGGACAGGCACCUUGGAGACAACACAGGGACACCCAGGCUGGGCCCCAGGACCGAGGCAGGCACCCCAGAGUUACCAGCCCCCUGAUAACUGGAGACAGCUCCAGGUGACCUUCCUGGAAACGGGGCUGCUGCAGGUGUCACAGGGCUGCCCCCACCUCCAGGAGGAAGCGGGGCAGGGACACCGUGGGCAUCUGCACACCUGCAUCACAUGGCCGGCCACCAGGCAGCACUGGACUGGGCGCACUCGGGCGGACCCUGCCCUGCCCCUCCUCAGAGCCCCGGCCGCCCCAGGCCUGACUCGGGCCCUACUGAGGGCCCCGUCUGCUCGUAGCACCCAGCGAGCCACGAGGCCCUCACGCUUCAGGCUGGGCUGUGACCCUGCAGAGCUGACACUGACUCCUAACUGUCAGGUACGACUUCUGCCAACAGAGCCGGGAUGCAGCUCAGCGGCACUGCGCCUGCCUGGCGAGCACAAAGUACUGAGUUCCAUCCCCGGUGCCACAAAAAAGGCUUAUCAACAGGUGCUUGUGGUUUGUUGACUUUUAAUACAAGUUUGAAGUGGAGUCCUCAUAAAUCAGCUCAGCCAGAUGGGAAACCACGGUAAAGCCUUUAAGAGCGCAGAGCGAAAGCUCAGGCUCCCCGUGUCCGGGCCCUCACGCUGAGCUGCGUCCCAGCCCGUUCUUUAGUUUUAUUUUGAGACAGGCUGUGGCUCCAGCUUGCCACCCUCCUGCCUCAGCCCACCAGAGUGCUGGGAUUACCUUCGUCCUCACCAAAAAGAGGCAGCUGGCGGUGAGGGCGGUGCAGACCCCUGAGCUGCGUGGGCGCUGAGGACACCUCUGGCCACCACCUGAGCACCACACUCGGUGCCUUGUGCGCCCGGCUGCUGCUUUCUGUUCGUGUCCUCUGUGGGGUUGUGGGGCAGAAGCCCAGGUGCUUGGUGCCGCCAGGGGCGUGGACAGCUUCAGGGGGCAGCUGCUUUCUUCUCUCUGCAGUGGCGAGAGCAGCGGGCGGCACAGGGGCAGCGCACGGGUCCGGCAGCCCAAGUUUCCUUGCCCUCUCGCCUGCACCC